rnacentral:rRNA from 1 species
UGGGGAAUAUUGGACAAUGGGCGAAAGCCUGAUCCAGCCAUGCCGCGUUUGUGAAGAAGGUCUUCGGAUUGUAAAGCACUUUAAGUUGGGAGGAAGGGCAGUAAGCGAAUACCUUGCUGUUUUGACGUUACCGACAGAAUAAGCACCGGCUAACUCUGUGCCAGCAGCCGCGGUAAUACAGAGGGUGCAAGCGUUAAUCGGAAUUACUGGGCGUAAAGCGCGCGUAGGUGGUUCGUUAAGUUGAAUGUGAAAGCCCCGGGCUCAACCUGGGAACUGCAUCCAAAACUGGCGAGCUAGAGUAGGGCAGAGGGUGGUGGAAUUUCCUGUGUAGCGGUGAAAUGCGUAGAUAUAGGAAGGAACACCAGUGGCGAAGGCGACCACCUGGGCUCAUACUGACACUGAGGUGCGAAAGCGUGGGGAGCAAACAGG